UACGGGGGGGGGCAAGCGUUGUUCGGAAUUACUGGGCGUAAAGGGCUCGUAGGCGGCCAACUAAGUCAGACGUGAAAUCCCUCGGCUUAACCGGGGAACUGCGUCUGAUACUGGAUGGCUUGAGUGUGGGAGAGGGAUGCGGAAUUCCAGGUGUAGCGGUGAAAUGCGUAGAUAUCGUAAGGAAGACCAGUGGCGAAGGCGAAUCUCUGGACAGUUACUGACACUGAGGCACGAAGGCCAGGGGAGCAAACGGG
rnacentral:rRNA from 1 species